ACUCCGUACGGGAGGCAGCAGUGGGGAAUAUUGCACAAUGGGGGAAACCCUGAUGCAGCCAUGCCGCGUGUGUGAAGAAGGCCUUCGGGUUGUAAAGCACUUUCAGUAGGGAGGAAGGUAGUGUAGUUAACACCUUGCACUAUUUGACGUUAACCUACAGAAGAAGUCACCGGCUAACUCCGUGCCAGCAGCCGCGGUAAUAACGGAGGGUGCGAGCGUUAAUCGGAAUUACUGGGCGUAAAGCGCAUGCAGGCGGCCUGUUAAGUCAG
rnacentral:rRNA from 1 species